ensembl:lncRNA
GAUUGACAACCACGUUGUUUGUCACUAUCGACGUUAAGCAGGAAGCGAACACGUGGACGGUUUCUUUGCAACCAUUCCAGGAAGCUGCUUCAAGUGCCUGAAGUCCCAUCGAAAGGAUGUCGCUGUAUUCACGUCGCUCCAGAGGACUUUGUCCAGUCUCACUUUCUCGAAGUCAACCUCCUUCAAUCCUGUGGUGAUACACACACCCUUGUGUAGCCUCUCUUCAGUCACAAAGGGUCUGAAGAGGAGGCCGUGGAUCCUGGAUGGAGUCGAAUCCAUUUCAAUCAAUGUCACCAAUUAAUAAUAAGACAAUUAGCAAGUGAUAUAAUACCAAAUUCCUCUCUCCCGCUGAAUAACUUUAACCUCGAACCCGGCCCCACUCCUGCUGCUGAAGCUGCCAGAGGAGCUGUUGAAAGAGUUUUUUUUUUAAUGCGAGCCGGCGUUCAGUCUACCAGUCUGGUUUAGAUCAGCCUGUCCAACAUGGAGAGGAACAGAAUGCGCACACAGACGGACCUGCAGAAGAUCACAGCAGAAACACGCUUACCCGCUUACUCCUUAUUUGACCGAGCACAGUGUCAUUGUGUUUCAACCACUUCCCUUUCUGCUUGACUGCCCUUCGUUUCUGGAUGUGGGAUUAUAAAAAAAAAAGGAUUAGUGUCAGGUAGUUUUAGCGUCCAGGACAACAGUAUUUGUUUGGAAUGUUAUGAAAAAAACGUAAAAGUAACAAUAGUGAAACAAAUUGUCCUGUAUAAGUACAUUGGGAGCAAAUCCUUCAACAUAUUCUGAUAUUUAACUGCCACAACGACAUAUUUUUGGGGUGUCUUCAAGGUUUUUUAUUAUUGCUGCAGAGAAUAAGCUGUCUGCGGCCGCAGGGGGGCAGAGGGGAGCGCUCAAUUUCCCUCGUGGGACAUCCCGGAAAAGAUCACAGAUGCAAUAUUUAGUGAGUCAAGGCCUGAGACAAAAGUUCAGAGCAAUGAAAUACAAACGUUUCCAUGC